GUGCUUAACACAUGCAAGUCGAGCGGUAAGGCCCUUCGGGGUACACGAGCGGCGAACGGGUGAGUAACACGUGGGUGAUCUGCCUCGUACUCUGGGAUAAGCCUGGGAAACUGGGUCUAAUACCGGAUAUGACCACGAGUCGCAUGGUUUGUGGUGGAAAGAUUUAUCGGUGCGAGAUGGGCCCGCGGCCUAUCAGCUUGUUGGUGGGGUAAUGGCCUACCAAGGCGACGACGGGUAGCCGGCCUGAGAGGGCGACCGGCCACACUGGGACUGAGACACGGCCCAGACUCCUACGGGAGGCAGCAGUGGGGAAUAUUGCACAAUGGGCGGAAGCCUGAUGCAGCGACGCCGCGUGCGGGAUGACGGCCUUCGGGUUGUAAACCGCUUUCGACAGGGACGAAGCGUGAGUGACGGUACCUGUAGAAGAAGCACCGGCCAACUACGUGC
rnacentral:rRNA from 1 species